rnacentral:tRNA from 1 species
ACAGUGGUAGUUCAGUGGUAGAAUUCUCACCUUCCAUGGGGGAGACCCGGGUUUAAAUCUCAGUCAAUGCA